rnacentral:rRNA from 1 species
GUGGGGAAUAUUGGACAAUGGGCGAAAGCCUGAUCCAGCCAUGCCGCGUGUGUGAAGAAGGUCUUCGGAUUGUAAAGCACUUUAAGUUGGGAGGAAGGGCAGUAAGUUAAUACCUUGCUGUUUUGACGUUACCGACAGAAUAAGCACCGGCUAACUUCGUGCCAGCAGCCGCGGUAAUACGAAGGGUGCAAGCGUUAAUCGGAAUUACUGGGCGUAAAGCGCGCGUAGGUGGUUUUGUAAGUUGGAGGUGAAAUCCCCGGGCGCAACCUGGGAACUGCCUACAAAACUGCAUGACUAGAGUACGGUAGAGGGUAGUGGAAUUUCCUGUGUAGCGGUGAAAUGCGUAGAUAUAGGAAGGAACACCAGUGGCGAAGGCGACUACCUGGACUGAUACUGACACUGAGGUGCGAAAGCGUGGGGAGCAAACAGGAUUAGAAACCCGUGUAGUCC